UAACUGGUUGAUCCUGCCAGUAGUCAUAUGCUUGUCUC
rnacentral:rRNA from 1 species